AUUGAACGCUGGCGGCAUGCUUUACACAUGCAAGUCGUACGGUAACAGGGUGCUUGCACCGCUGACGAGUGGCGAACGGGUGAGUAAUGCGUCGGAACGUGCCGAGUAGUGGGGGAUAACGCAGCGAAAGUUGUGCUAAUACCGCAUACGUACUGAGGUAGAAAGUGGGGGACCUUCGGGCCUCACGCUAUUCGAGCGGCCGACGUCUGAUCAGCUAGUAGGUGAGGUAAAGGCUCACCUAGGCGACGAUCAGUAGUGGGUCUGAGAGGAUGAUCCGCCACACUGGGACUGAGACACGGCCCAGACUCCUACGGGAGGCAGCAGUGGGGAAUUUUGGACAAUGGGCGAAAGCCUGAUCCAGCCAUGCCGCGUGUCUGAAGAAGGCCUUCGGGUUGUAAAGGACUUUUGUCAGGGAGGAAAUCCCUAGUGCUAAUAACACUGGGGGAUGACAGUACCUGAAGAAUAAGCACCGGCUAACUACGUGCCAGCCGCCGCCGUAA
rnacentral:rRNA from 1 species